CCGGAGUGGACGCAUCACUGGUGUUCGGGUUGUCAUGCCAAUGGCACUGCCCGGUAGCUAAAUGCGGAAGAGAUAAGUGCUGAAAGCAUCUAAGCACGAAACUUGCCCCGAGAUGAGUUCUCCCUGACCCUUUAAGGGUCCUGAAGGAACGUUGAAGACGACGACGUUGAUAGGCCGGGUGUGUAAGCGCAGCGAUGCGUUGAGCUAACCGGUACUAAUGAACCGUGAGGCUUAACCUUACAACGCCGAAGGUGUUU
rnacentral:rRNA from 1 species